rnacentral:rRNA from 1 species
AUUGAACGCUGGCGGCAUGCCUUACACAUGCAAGUCGAACGGCAGCACGGGAGCAAUCCCGGUGGCGAGUGGCGAACGGGUGAGUAAAGUAUCGGAACGCGCCCAGUCGUGGGGGAUAACGUAGCGAAAGUUACGCUAAUACCGCAUACGAUCUAUGGAUGAAAGCGGGGGAUCGCAAGACCUCGCGCGAUUGGAGCGGCCGAUAUCAGAUUAGGUAGUUGGUGGGGUAAAGGCGCACCAAGCCGACGAUCGGUAGCUGGUCUGAGAGGACGACCAGCCACACUGGGACUGAGACACGGCCCAGACUCCUACGGGAGGCAGCAGUGGGGAAUUUUGGACAAUGGGCGAAAGCCUGAUCCAGCCAUGCCGCGUGCAGGAUGAAGGCCUUCGGGUUGUAAACUGCUUUUGUACGGAACGAAAAGGUUUGGGCUAAUAAGCUGAGCUCAUGACGGUACCGUAAGAAUAAGCACCGGCUAACUACGUGCCAGCCGCCGCAGUAA